rnacentral:rRNA from 1 species
CCUACGGGAGGCAGCAGUAGGGAAUCUUCCACAAUGGACGCAAGCCUGAUGGAGCAACACCGCGUGAGUGAAGAAGGGUUUCGGCUCGUAAAGCUCUGUUGUUGGAGAAGAACGUGCGGGUGAGUAACUGUUCACUCAGUGACGGUAUCCAGCCAGCAAGUCACGGCUAACUACGUGCCAGCAGCCGGUGUGAUACGUAGGGGGCAAGCGUUAUCCGGGUUUAUUGGGCGUAAAGCGAGCGCAGGCGGUUGGAUAAGUCUGAUGGGAAAGCCUUCGGGUUAAACGGAGAAGUGCAUCGGAAACUGGGCGACUUGAGUGCAGAAGAGGAAAGCGGAACUCCAAGUGUAGCGGUGGAAUGCGUAGAUAUAUGGAAGAACACCAGUGGCGAAGGCGGCCGUCUGGUCUGCAACUGACGCUGAGGCUCGAAAGCAUGGGGAGCGAACAGGAUUAGAUACCCCUGUAGUC